GUAGGAGUGUGCUUGUAUGUAGUGUUGAUGUUUCAAUGCAGGAGUGUGUUUUAUAUGUAGUGUUGAAGUUUGAAUGGAGGGGUGUAUUUGUAUUUAAAGUUGCGGCUCAGAUGCACAGGUACACACUCUGACACACAAGCAGAUACACAGAUACAUACACUGACUACAUACAGAUAAACAGGCACAUACACUGACAGACACACUGGCACAGGUACAUAUAUUGACACACACACAGACACAUACACUGGUAGACGUACUGACAGACAUACUGACACAGGCACAUAUACAGACAUACUGACACACAGACACAUAUACCGACAUACUGACACACACACACAGACACUGAUCAACAUACUGACACACAUACACUGGCAGAAAUACUGACACCCACACACUGACAGAUAUACUGACACCCACAUACACUGAGAAAUACUGACACACACACACAGGCACAUACACUGACACACACAGACCGAUAUACUGACACACACACACACAGACAUACUGGCACACAGACAGAUAUACUGACACAUGCAUACACAUGCACUAACAGACAUACUGACGCACUGACAGACA